rnacentral:rRNA from 1 species
CAAGUCGAACGGCAGCACGGAGCUUGCUCUGGUGGCGAGUGGCGAACGGGUGAGUAAUAUAUCGGAACGUACCCAGGAGUGGGGGAUAACGUAGCGAAAGUUACGCUAAUACCGCAUACGUCCUAAGGGAGAAAGCAGGGGAUCGCAAGACCUUGUGCUCAUGGAGCGGCCGAUAUCUGAUUAGCUAGUUGGUGGGGUAAAAGCCUACCAAGGCAACGAUCAGUAGCUGGUCUGAGAGGACGACCAGCCACACUGGAACUGAGACACGGUCCAGACUCCUACGGGAGGCAGCAGUGGGGAAUUUUGGACAAUGGGGGCAACCCUGAUCCAGCAAUGCCGCGUGAGUGAAGAAGGCCUUCGGGUUGUAAAGCUCUUUUGUCAGGGAAGAAAAGGCUGUGGCUAAUAUCCACGGCUCAUGACGGUACCUGAAGAAUAAGCACCGGCUAACUACGUGCCAGCAGCCGCGGUAAUACGUAGGGUGCAAGCGUUAAUCGGAAUUACUGGGCGUAAAGCGUGCGCAGGCGGUUUUGUAAGACUGUCGUGAAAUCCCCGGGCUUAACCUGGGAAUGGCGAUGGUGACUGCAAGGCUAGAGUUUGGCAGAGGGGGGUAGAAUUCCACGUGUAGCAGUGAAAUGCGUAGAUAUGUGGAGGAACACCGACGGCGAAGGCAGCCCCCUGGGUCAAAACUGACGCUCAUGCACGAAAGCGUGGGGAGCAAACAGGAUUAGAUACCCUGGUAGUCCACGCCCUAAACGAUGUCUACUAGUUGUCGGGUCUUAAUUGACUUGGUAACGCAGCUAACGCGUGAAGUAGACCGCCC